AAGAAAGCAGCCCUGUUUACCUGGUCCUGAGCUACCCCUUUAAUCGUGUCUUAAGUUACUCAGCCAAUUUUCUUUCUGCAGAUGUUGAAGAAAAGAGACAUUACUACAAAGGAGAACCCUGGAGAGGUAGUACGAGGACGCUGCCUUCCUGCUCUAGUUCUGAAGAUGACGAAAAAGAAAUAAUCCCGGAUAGACGGAAACCCAAAGAUCCAUUCAUUGAGAGAACCCGAUAUAAAGAACAUUAGAAACAUG